rnacentral:rRNA from 1 species
AUUGAACGCUGGCGACAGGCUUAACACAUGCAAGUCGAGCGGGGGAAGGUAGCUUGCUACUGGACCUAGCGGCGGACGGGUGAGUAAUGCUUAGGAAUCUGCCUAUUAGUGGGGGACAACAUCUCGAAAGGGAUGCUAAUACCGCAUACGUCCUACGGGAGAAAGCAGGGGAUCUUCGGACCUUGCGCUAAUAGAUGAGCCUCAGUCGGAUUAGCUAGUUGGUGGGGUAAAGGCCUACCAAGGCGACGAUCUGUAGCGGGUCUGAGAGGAUGAUCCGCCACACUGGGACUGAGACACGGCCCAGACUCCUACGGGAGGCAGCAGUGGGGAAUAUUGGACAAUGGGGGGAACCCUGAGCCAGCCAUGCCGCGUGUGUGAAGAAGGCCUUAUGGUUGUAAAGCACUUUAAGCGAGGAGGAGGCUACUUUAGUUAAUACCUAGAGAUAGUGGACGUUACUCGCAGAAUAAGCACCGGCUAACUCUGUGCCAGCAGCCGCCGUAA